AGUAGUUAAGUGUUCGGCUGCUAACCAAAAGGUCGGUGGUUCGAAUCCACCAACCACUU
rnacentral:tRNA from 1 species